rnacentral:rRNA from 1 species
AUUGAACGCUGGCGGCUGGCCUAACACAUGCAAGUCGAUCGGAGCGGCGGACGGGUUAGUAAUGCCUAGGACUCUGCCUGGUAGUGUGGGCUACCGUCCGGAAACGGGCGCUCAUACCGCAUACUAUCAGAUGAGCCUCGGUCGGAUUAGCUAGUUGGUGGGGUCAAGGCCUACCAAGGCGACGCUCCGUAACUGGUCUGGGAGGAUGAUCAGUCACACAGGAACUGCGACACGGUCCAGACGCCUACGUGAGGCAGAAGUGGGGAAUAUUGGACAAUGGGCGAAAGCCUGAUACAGCAAUGCCGCUUGUGUGAAGAAGGUCUUCGGACUGUAAAGCACUUUAAGUGGGGAGGCGGGAAAAACAGAAUCAGCACCGGCUAACUUCGUGCCAGCAGCCGCGGUAAUUC